rnacentral:rRNA from 1 species
GAUGAACGCUGGCGGCGUGCCUAAUACAUGCCAGUCGAGCGAACAGACGAGGAGCUUGCUCCUCUGACGUUAGCGGCGGACGGGUGAGUAACACGUGGAUACCCUACCUAUAAGACUGGGAUAACUUCGGGAAACCGGAGCUAAUACCGGAUAAUAUAUUGAACCGCAUGGUUCAAUAGUGAAAGACGGUUUUGCUGUCACUUAUAGAUGGAUCCGCGCCGCAUUAGCUAGUUGGUAAGGUAACGGCUUACCAAGGCAACGAUGCGUAGCCGACCUGAGAGGGUGAUCAGCCACACUGGAACUGAGACACGGUCCAGACUCCUACGGGAGGCAGCAGUAGGGAAUCUUCCGCAAUGGGCGAAAGCUUGACGGAGCAACGCCGCGUGAGUGAUGAAGGUCUUCGGAUCGUAAAACUCUGUUAUUAGGGAAGAACAAAUGUGUAAGUAACUAUGCACGUCUUGACGGUACCUAAUCAGAAAGCCACGGCUAACUACGUG